GGCUGCUGUAUCUCAAUUAUUGUGAAAACAACCUGUUAUGUCUUUUUGGGUUGAUCGCCCAAUUUGAUCAAUGUAACGAAACUUUAAACAACUGUCAUACAAGUUAGACCAUUUUCCUUGGAAAGUGUUUUUCACUUUGUUCCGUUGAUAGAUAACGUUUGAUUUUGUAAGUUUACAUAGACUUCCCCUUUUUGAAUUUCAUUGGAGUUUGGUAUUUUUGUAAUACUUUUUUGAAAAGAGAAUUGAAAUAAUGUGCAAAACUGUAAAAAAAUAUGUAUAAAACAAGAUAGAUCAAAUUCUUAAACAAACAAAAAAUAUCUAUCAAAGAUUUAUUAGAACACAAAAACAAUAAGACGAAGUAAAACAUGCUGCCUAAAUUAAAGAGCUUAAUCAAAGAGGUAUUAUUGUAGUAUGUAUGGGACUAAAGACAGAAAUAUCUAUAUUCGCUUUUUAUUUAUAUCCAAAAUGAACUGUAUAUCAACACUUUAUUUUCCUUAAACAAACGAAUCACAAUGUUCUAGGACGGAGGUUAUUCAUUUUAUAAGGAUUGUAUAUAGAAAAAAAUAUGAACAGUACAAAUACAACAUUAUACAACUU
rnacentral:lncRNA from 1 species